rnacentral:tRNA from 1 species
GGCCCGUUCGUCUAGCGGUUCAGGACAUCUCCCUUUCACGGAGAAGAUCACGGGUUCGAAUCCCGUACGGGUCACAA